rnacentral:misc_RNA from 1 species
CAAACUCUCUUCAUGGCUUUUUGCUGAUCUUUUUCAUUAUGUAUUUGCAAUUCCAGCACUACCUUCUUCAUCGCCUUGAGCUCAGAAAAACAAAGAUGAAAAUCCAGAAAAANAACCAAAACCAAGAGGGAAAAUAAAAGAAAAAGAAGUUGCACUAUAGACAAUUACAAUGGCAAUAGAGGGAAGGAGAAGAUGAGCAAAUCC